rnacentral:rRNA from 1 species
AUUGAACGCUGGCGGCAGGCCUAACACAUGCAAGUCGAGCGGAUGAAGGGAGCUUGCUCCUGGAUUCAGCGGCGGACGGGUGAGUAAUGCCUAGGAAUCUGCCUGGUAGUGGGGGAUAACGUCCGGAAACGGGCGCUAAUACCGCAUACGUCCUGAGGGAGAAAGUGGGGGAUCUUCGGACCUCACGCUAUCAGAUGAGCCUAGGUCGGAUUAGCUAGUUGGUGGGGUAAAGGCCUACCAAGGCGACGAUCCGUAACUGGUCUGAGAGGAUGAUCAGUCACACUGGAACUGAGACACGGUCCAGACUCCUACGGGAGGCAGCAGUGGGGAAUAUUGGACAAUGGGCGAAAGCCUGAUCCAGCCAUGCCGCGUGUGUGAAGAAGGUCGUCGGAUUGUAAAGCACUUUAAGUUGGGAGGAAGGGCAGUAAGUUAAUACCUUGCUGUUUUGACGUUACCAACAGAAUAAGCACCGGCUAACUUCGUG